CCUACGGGUGACAGCAGUGAGGAAUAUUGGUCAAUGGGCGGGAGCCUGAACCAGCCAAGUAGCGUGCAGGAUGACUGCCCUACGGGUUGUAAACUUCUUUUAUAAGGGAAUAACGCGCGGCACGUGUGCCUUUUUGCAUGUACCUUAUGAAUAAGGAUCGGCUAACUCCGUGCCAGCAGCCGCGGUAAUACGGAGGAUCCGAGCGUUAUCCGGAUUUAUUGGGUUUAAAGGGAGCGUAGGUGGGAUGUUAAGUCAGCUGUGAAAGUUUGGGGCUCAACCCUGGACUUGCAAUUGAAACUGGCGGGCUUGAGUACGAGGGAAGUAGGCGGAAUGCGUGGUGUAGCGGUGAAAUGCUUAGAUAUCACGAAGAACCCCGAUUGCGAAGGCAGCUUACUGAAGCGACACUGACGCUGAUGCUCGAAAGCGUGGGUAUCGAACAGGAUUAGAUACCCCGGUAGUC
rnacentral:rRNA from 1 species